GGAAGACUGGCUGAGACAGCAGGAAGCCCUGCCCACCUCCUAGGCCCAGACCUCGGAGAAAGGGCACGGGGCCUUCUGGUGGCCAUCCUGAGCCGCCCUGCACCUGCUCCCUGCUGAACCCGAGACGCAAAGAACACUCCAACUUCACACCAAAUCAAAGCUCACUGUGCUGCGCGCACAAGAGAGCUGACCAGCGACGGCCUCGCGAGCAGCCGGGCCAAGCGGCUGGUCUGAGGGCAGAAGGUCUCACAGCACCGAAGUCACAAAGCUGGGUGUCUCGGGGACUUGGAGCUGGCAGGGUCCAGGCAAGCGCCACACAAGGGCAGACAGCAGGUUUAGGAUCCACGCGGUGUGCGUCUCCAGGUCGGAGCAGACAGAGUCCCACAUCAGAGUGGAUGAGGGGCAGCGGGGACUUGAGGGCGGUUGUUGUCUGGCCAAGGAGAGCGGGCUGGGGUGAGCUCCGCACACGGGCAGGACCCCGAGCAAGUGUUCCCAACAUCAGAUUACGGCAGGCCAAACAGAAGUCCUAGUAUUUUACAGUAAAACGGAGAUGAACUUCCACGGCUUUGUGAUAAGAGGGCUCCCAAUCUUCAGACGGAUCAGGCUGGGUCCAUCACCCGCUCCCCAGCACCCCAGCACCCUGAGCGCCCUGCAC
rnacentral:lncRNA from 1 species